UACGUAGGGUGCGAGCGUUAAUCGGAAUUACUGGGCGUAAAGCGUGCGCAGGCGGUGAUGUAAGACAGGUGUGAAAUCCCUCGGCUUAACCGAGGAACUGCCCUCCAAACUGCUUUGCUUGAGGCCGGGAGAGGUGAGUGGAAUUCCCAGUGUAGCGGUGAGAUGCGUAGAUAUUGGGAGGAACACCAGUGGCGAAGGCGGCUCACUGGACCGGUUCUGACGCUGAGGCGCGAAAGCGUGGGGAGCAAACGGG
rnacentral:rRNA from 1 species